rnacentral:rRNA from 1 species
UACGUAGGGUGCAAGCGUUGUCCGGAAUUAUUGGGCGUAAAGAGCUCGUAGGCGGUCUGUUGCGUCGGCUGUGAAAACCCGGGGCUCAACCCCGGGCCUGCAGCCGAUACGGGCAGACUAGAGUUCGGCAGGGGAGACUGGAAUUCCUGGUGUAGCGGUGAAAUUCGUAGAUAUCGGGAGGAACACCAGAGGCGAAGGCGGCCACCUGGACAGACACUGACGCUGAGAAGCGAAAGCGUGGGGAGCAAACAGG